rnacentral:rRNA from 1 species
CUCGUAGGCGGCUUGUCGCGUCUGCUGUGAAAACGCGGGGCUUAACUCCGCGCGUGCAGUGGGUACGGGCAGGCUAGAGUGUGGUAGGGGAGACUGGAAUUCCCGGUGUAACGGUGGAAUGUGUAGAUAUCGGGAAGAACACCAAUGGCAAAGGCAGGUCUCUGGGCCGUCACUGACGCUGAGGAGCGAAAGCGUGGGGAGCGAACA